GGGGCAGGGUGAGUCGACCCCUAAGGCGAGGCCGAAAGGCGUAGUCGAUGGGAAACAGGUUAAUAUUCCUGUACUUGGUGUUACUGCGAAGGGGGGACGGAGAAGGCUAUGUUGGCCGGGCGACGGUUGUCCCGGUUUAAGCGUGUAGGCUGGUUUUCCAGGCAAAUCCGGAAAAUCAAGGCUGAGGCGUGAUGACGAGGCACUACGGUGCUGAAGCAACAAAUGCCCUGCUUCCAGGAAAAGCCUCUAAGCAUCAGGUAACAUCAAAUCGUACCCCAAACCGACACAGGUGGUCAGGUAGAGAAUACCAAGGCGCUUGAGAGAACUCGGGUGAAGGAACUAGGCAAAAUGGUGCCGUAACUUCGGGAGAAGGCACGCUGAUAUGUAGGUGAAGUCCCUCGCGGAUGGAGCUGAAAUCAGUCGAAGAUACCAGCUGGCUGCAACUGUUUAUUAAAAACACAGCACUGUGCAAACACGAAAGUGGACGUAUACGGUGUGACGCCUGCCCGGUGC
rnacentral:rRNA from 1 species